UACGGAGGAGGCAAGCGUUAUCCGGAAUUGUUGGGCGUAAAGCGUCCGCAGGUGGCACUUCAAGUCUGUCGUCAAAGACUGGGGCUUAACCCUGGAAAGGCGGUGGAAACUGAAGCGCUAGAGUGCGGUAGGGGUAGAGGGAAUUCCCGGUGUAGCGGUGAAAUGCGUAGAGAUCGGGAAGAACAUCGGUGGCGAAAGCGCUCUACUGGACCGCAACUGACACUCAGGGACGAAAGCUAGGGGAGCGAAUGGG
rnacentral:rRNA from 1 species